CAAAAUGAAUUUAGGCAGCUAGAUUAUCAAUUCAAUCAAUUGUCGCUCAAAUAUGUGCUCUGCACAAAAACCUCACCACUAUAUUGUCUGAGAUAAAGGAACUUUUAAAAACAAUUCUCAACCAACGGUCAAAAAUAAUCCCAUUGUUGUGUCGCCUCAACUGCCCAAAGAAGCUGGUGAUCCCAAAAUGUUUGUCUAGUUGUUCUGACUAAUGGUUCGUUCAACAAAUGCACAAUGUUCCCGGGUGAGUGUCUUUAAAAUAUCAGUACGAUAAAAGCUUGAAACAAACUGUUUGAUUCAGCUCAUUGUUCUUUUCUUUGAAGGCUAGCUAUCAACAGCUAGAGCACAAGGGGAACAGACGGCACGACUCCCUCCCUAUCCGCGUAACACUCCGAAGAGGGAUAGAGAUCCAUUGCUAACAUAAAACGCUACAGAGGCAGAAAAACUGUCGAGCCCCGUCUUCGUAGUAACAUCCGUGAAACACGCGUCAGUCUCCCAAGUAUCACAUGCAACAAAAGCCUUCUUUCAAACGAGACGACCUUAUGCUUCCCUCGAGCAAAGUACCGAAUGACCGAAGGGUGUCACCGGUAAAAGCGUUGUUGUUUGCUCUUCGUUCGGUUUUGGAGGGCAGAGGAAUAUCGCCUUGUCUGUCCGCGCAUUGCCGAUGAUGGCUUGAGCGAGAGGCUACACUUUUUUUCUGAUGGAGCUGCGCGCGGAUGCGCUGGCACAACGUGUACGGGGGCUCUUCUUGGUGCAGUCCACCAGUGCUGGCAGCCUUGGUCCAUCAUGGUCGUCUGUCUGGAGCACCUGUUCUCCAACACUAGCUUGGAGGGUCCCAGCCUGGGAUAUAGGUACAAAAUUAACAAAAUUACACUUGAGACCUCCAUUUUGAGUCCUCCUUUCCAACCAUAAAGCAUAUCAGUCUGUUUUUACAUAGGCCAGUGGUUUUCAACCCUCUCCUUGGGGAACCCCAAACGUUUCACUAUUUUGUUGUAGCCCUAAACAAGCAAACCUCAUUAAAACCUAUCCAAGGGCUUGAUGAUUAGUUGACACGUUGAAUCAGGUGUGCUAGCUGUGGAAUACAGUGGAAUGUCUGGGGGUCCUCUAGGAGAGGUUUUAAAACCUCUGGCAUAUGGUUGUACUACAAAAACAAUUCCCCAUUACGGAGACACACAGAUAAACAUGUUUUUAUUCGUAUAUGAGAAUUACCUUUAGACGAACUCUCCUCAACCGUUUAUGACUUUUACCCAUUUUAUUUAAGACAUCCUUCAGAUUGGACCUGUACAACGAUAGAAAAAUAAUAAACAAACACAUUUUUUAUAAAAUGUUAGAACAUUUUAAUACAAUACUUACAGUUACACAGAAUUAUCUUGUCCAGGCAAAGUAAUGUCUUUGAACAUGAGGAUGACUGUCCUAUGCAAACUAUCAACUCAACUGAGCCAAUCAAUUUAAUAAUUUGUUGAC
rnacentral:lncRNA from 13 species